rnacentral:rRNA from 1 species
CCUACGGGUGGCAGCAGUGGGGAAUAUUGCACAAUGGGGGAAACCCUGAUGCAGCGACGCCGCGUGAGUGAUGAAGGAUUUCGGUAUGUAAAGCCCUGUCAGUAGGGAAGAAAAUGACGGUACCUGACGAAGAAGCCCCGGCUAACUACGUGCCAGCAGCCGCGGUAAUACGUAGGGGGCAAGCGUUAAUCGGAUUUACUGGGUGUAAAGGGAGCGUAGGCGGGAGGGCAAGUCAGGAGUGAAAGGCGGGGGCUCAACCCUCGGACUGCUCUUGAAACUGUCAGUCUGGAGUGCGGGAGAGGUAAGUGGAAUUCCUGGUGUAGCGGUGAAAUGCGUAGAUAUUAGGAGGAACACCAGUUGCGAAGGCGGCUUACUGGACUAUAACUGACGCUGAUGCUCGAAAGUGUGGGUAUCAAACAGGAUUAGAUACCCCUGUAGUC